rnacentral:rRNA from 1 species
AGAGUUUGAUCCUGGCUCAGAAUGAACGUUGGCGGCGUGGAUUAGGCAUGCAAGUCGAACGAGAUCUGUAGCAAUACAGUGAAAGUGGCGAAAGGGAGAGUAAUACGUAGGUACCUGCCCUCGGGUCUGGGAUAGCUGCGGGAAACUGCAAUUAAUACCGGAUGAUGUCUCUGGACCAAAGGUGUGAUUCCGCCAGGGGAUGGGCCUGCGUCCUAUCAGCUAGUUGGUGUGGUAAAGGCGCACCAAGGCGAAGACGGGUACGGGGUGUGAGAGCAUGCCCCCGCUCACUGGGACUGAGAUACUGCCCAGACACCUACGGGUGGCUGCAGUCGAGAAUCUUCCGCAAUGGGCGAAAGCCUGACGGAGCGACGCCGCGUGUGGGAUGAAGGCCUUCGGGUUGUAAACCACUGUCAGUGGGGAGCAAAUGCAUCGGGGUUCUCCCCGGUGUUUGAGCGAUCCGCAGAGGAAGCACAGGCUAAUUCCGUGCCAGCAGCCGCGGUAAUACGGAAUGUGCAAACGUUAUUCGGAAUCACUGGGCUUAAAGAGUCCGUAGGCGGCCUGUUAGGUGAGGUGUGAAAUCCCACGGCUCAACCGUGGAAUUGCGCUUCAAACCGGCAGGCUCGAGGAAGAUAGAGGUGGACGGAACUGAUGUGGAGCGGUGAAAUGCGUUGAUAUCAUCAGGAACACCGGAGGCGAAGGCGGUCCACUGGGUCUUUUCUGACGCUGAGGGACGAAAGCUAGGGGAGCGAACGGGAUUAGAUACCCCGGUAGUCCUAGCCUUAAACGAUGAGCACUAGACC